rnacentral:rRNA from 1 species
GACGAACCGUGCGAACGUUGUUCGGAAUCACUGGGCUUAAAGGGCGCGUAGGCGGGUGUGCAAGUCUGUGGUGAAAGCCUCCAGCUUAACUGGAGAAGUGCCGUGGAUACUGCAUAUCUUGAGGAGGGUAGGGGCAUCUGGAACGGUCGGUGGAGCGGUGAAAUGCGUUGAUAUCGACCGGAACUCCGGUGGCGAAGGCGAGGUGCUGGACCCUUUCUGACGCUGAGACGCGAAAGCGUGGGGAGCAAACAGG